rnacentral:lncRNA from 13 species
CUAUGCUCUUCUCUCCAUAGUGAAUGGGUCUCACAAGAUCUGAUGGUUUUAAGAACAGGCGUUUCUCUGCACGAGCUCUGUUUGCCUGCCCAUCCACGGAAGAUGUGACUUGCUUCUCCUUGCGUUCUGCCAUGAUUGUGAGGCUUCCCCAGCCACGUGGAACUGCCAAUUCUCCAUUAAACCUCUUUCGUUUGUAAAUUGCCUGGUCUCAGGAGAACUCCAGUACUUGGCUUUGAACCUGCCUGCUUCUAACUGCUGGAGAAAGAAACCUCAGCCAGCUGUGGAGAAAGGGGCCGUCACCUCCCGCAGCUGCAGCAAAGCAGGUGUUAUUCUCCAUCAUAAAGCAUCCUGGCCAAGAAAGGGAUCUUCAGAAGUUGUUGCUAUGCCCUGGGAAAGCUACCUUCAACCUCCAAAAUGUCUGUCAUCCUGAUCGGGUUUCUUACUCAAGAAGUUGUGGCCCUGGGUAACGCUCUAUGUGUCAAAACCUUUGUUUUCUAAAUUGUCUAUCUGGCUGGCUUCCCAUCCGUCUUCUAGAGUGACCUUUCUCAAUUCCAAGUCCGGUUAAGGCAGAAGAGCUUCAGCAGUGAGCCCUUCUUCUCCCUGUUCACUUAAAAAUAAAAAUCACAAUAUACACGUUUAGAAAAAGAGA